rnacentral:lncRNA from 1 species
CACGGUUCCCCAUUACAUAGUCUCCUGGUUAUUUAUAACAGAGGGUAAAAUUAAAAUGAAGCUUUUUGGCUGACACCGCUCUCCACAAUAUAAUUUAUCAGCUAAAAUGUAUAUGAGCCUGCUGUUGUCAUAUAGGAGUAAAAGUUAAAUGAAUGGUCGAAGGAGUCAUCAGCUCUCAGUUGGAAAAAAACCAAAUACUUCACUUGGGAUAUAUGAAGAAUAAAAAUAAUUGAAAUAAGACAAAUCUUCACAAGAAACUUCCAGGUUAUGAACCAGGAAAUGCCCUUCAGGAGUAAUAACCAUCCCAGCAGAACUCUCUUUUAUAUGAAAUCUAAAAAAGGGCCAAGGAAUCUGUAUUUUCUUAAAUACUCAGAGUGAUGCUGAUGUGGAGUGGACUUGUGGCUCCCACAGGCACAGGAAACCCUGGCUCCCAGGCCGCUCAUCCUGAUGUAUUCUCUCUAUGUAGAAAAAAAG